CCAGCAGCCGCGGUAACUCCAGCUCCAAUAGCGUAUAUUAAAGUUGCUGCAGUUAAAAAGCUCGUAGUUGGAUCUCGGUAGCACUGUUGCUCGUCAGUCCUUUGGCGGGUGGUUAUGCGCGCAUGGGUACGUAUUGUGUGGCCCGUGUUGUUGCUAUGGCUGCUCUGCCCGAGUUGGCGGUGUGACGGUGUCGCCUCUCAGCCAUGUCUGUGGUGAAACACCCUCAGGUGUAGGCGAGUGUCGGAUGGUGCCCAGCAUUAGUUGGGUUCGUCGGCUCGUCUGCAUGCCUCUAGAUGCCCUUCAAAAGGUGUCUGUGGGCGGAUGGCACGUUUACUUUGAACAAAUUUGAGUGCUCAAACCAGGCCGAUGUUGCCUGAAAGGUUUUGCAUGGAAUAAUGGAAUAGGACUUCGGUUCUAUUUCGUUGGUUUUCGGAUCCGAAGUAAUGAUCAAAAGAGACAGGCGGGGG
rnacentral:rRNA from 1 species